UACGUAGGGUGCGAGCGUUAAUCGGAAUUACUGGGCGUAAAGCGUGCGCAGGCGGUUUUGUAAGCCAGAUGUGAAAUCCCCGGGCUUAACCUGGGAAUGGCGAUGGAGACUGCAAGGCUAGAGUUUGGCAGAGGGGGGUAGAAUUCCACGUGUAGCAGUGAAAUGCGUAGAGAUGUGGAGGAACACCGAUGGCGAAGGCAGCCCCCUGGGUCAAAACUGACGCUCAUGCACGAAAGCGUGGGGAGCAAACAGG
rnacentral:rRNA from 1 species